AACGAACGCUGGCGGCAGGCCUAACACAUGCAAGUCGAACGCUGUAGCAAUACGGAGUGGCAGACGGGUGAGUAACGCGUGGGAACCUUCCCUAUGGUUCGGAAUAGCUCAGGGAAACCUGGGGUAAUACCGGAUAAGCCCUUCGGGGGAAAGAUUUAUCGCCAUUGGAUGGGCCCGCGUAGGAUUAGCUAGUUGGUGAGGUAACGGCUCACCAAGGCGACGACCCUUAGCUGGUCUGAGAGGAUGAUCAGCCACACUGGGACUGAGACACGGCCCAGACUCCUACGGGAGGCAGCAGUGGGGAAUAUUGGACAAUGGGCGAAAGCCUGAUCCAGCCAUGCCGCGUGAGUGACGAAGGCCUUAGGGUUGUAAAGCUCUUUUGGCGGGGAAGAUAAUGACGGUACCCGCAGAAUAAGCUCCGGCUAACUUCGUGCCAGCCGCCGCGGUAAAAC
rnacentral:rRNA from 1 species